CGGGAUUGAAGCUUGCUUCAAUUGCCGGCGACCGGCGCACGGGUGCGUAACGCGUAUGUAACCUACCUAUAACAGGGGCAUAACACUGAGAAAUUGGUACUAAUUCCCCAUAAUAUUCGGAGAGGCAUCUCUCCGGGUUGAAAACUCCGGUGGUUAUAGAUGGACAUGCGUUGUAUUAGCUAGUUGGUGAGGUAACGGCUCACCAAGGCAACGAUACAUAGGGGGACUGAGAGGUUAACCCCCCACACUGGUACUGAGACACGGACCAGACUCCUACGGGAGGCAGCAGUGAGGAAUAUUGGUCAAUGGACGCAAGUCUGAACCAGCCAUGCCGCGUGCAGGAAGACGGCUCUAUGAGUUGUAAACUGCUUUUGUACGAGGGUAAACUCACCUACGUGUAGGUGACUGAAAGUAUCGUACGAAUAAGGAUCGGCUAACUCCGUGCCAGCAGCCGCGGUAAUACGGAGGAUUCAAGCGUUAUCCGGAUUUAUUGGGUUUAAAGGGUGCGUAGGCGGUUUGAUAAGUUAGAGGUGAAAUCCCGGGGCUUAACUCCGGAACUGCCUCUAAUACUGUUAGACUAGAGAGUAGUUGCGGUAGGCGGAAUGUAUGGUGUAGCGGUGAAAUGCUUAGAGAUCAUACAGAACACCGAUUGCGAAGGCAGCUUACCAA
rnacentral:rRNA from 1 species